rnacentral:lncRNA from 1 species
GCAGAGCUGUGCGCACUGGGGGUGCUGCAGGCGCUGGGGAGAGUGUGGAGAGGCUGCGUGGAGCUGCGCGCUCGGGGUGGGGGCUGCACUCCCAAUGAAGCGCGUGAAGGGCAAGCGGUGAUGGGUUCUGCGCCAGUGGGGCUGGGAGCCCGUCCGGGGCUGUACAUGGGGCUGCGCGCAAGCUGUCUUUGUGGCAAUUUUACAUUGGUUACAUUUAGUAACACUUUUUGAAAAUGAUCGUCAUUUCUCUCACCUCUCAUCUUUGGAACGGGAGAUGACUUUUCGCACUGAAAUGGGACUUUAUUAUUCAUACUUCAAGACCAUUAUUGAAGCACCUUCGUUUUUGGAAGGACUGUGGAUGAUUAUGAAUGACAGGCUUACUGAAUAUCCUCUUAUAAUUAAUGCAAUAAAACGCUUCCAUCUUUAUCCAGAGGUGAGUCAUAAUUUGAGACAAAUAAUAUUUGUAGAGUGAUCCUCUUUGUCAGAUAAAAAUAGUAAGCACAAUCUUGUUAAGAAAGGGAGGGGACGUUUCAGGUUUAUUAAUUGUGUGUAUCCUUAUAGUUGAGUAGAAUAUCAUAAGUUCCUCUCUUAAAAUUUAAAGACCCCAGAAACUGUUCUCUCAUGAACUCGAAGAAUGAACCUUAGUGUGUAAAUAAUGGCCAGGGUAAUAGACAAGCCAAAUGGAAAAGAGAGUCAUGGGAGCCAAAAAGUUCUAAAUAGGGAUGGGCUUUUGGCUUUGGACACCUCGUGGGUGAGCAUGAUGACCACGUGAAGGGACAGUAAGAGUGAUGAGCUUGAAUAGUGAUCUUGGAGUUAAGUUAGUAAAGUAAGAUUUAUUUAGUCACACAGCCAGAAAUCUAUUACUAUUUUCCAACACUUAGC